UACAGAGGGUGCGAGCGUUGUUCGGAAUUAUUGGGCGUAAAGGGCGCGCAGGCGGCUCAGACAGUCAGAUGUGAAAGCCCCGGGCUUAACCUGGGAACUGCAUUUGAUACUACUGAGCUUGAGUACGGGGGAGGAUAGUGGAAUUCCCAGUGUAGAGGUGAAAUUCGUAGAUAUUGGGAAGAACACCGGUGGCGAAGGCGGGCUAUCUGGACCGUAACUGACGCUGAGGCGCGAAAGCGUGGGGAGCAAACAGGG
rnacentral:rRNA from 1 species